GAUAUUACCAAAAGGUCAUAUAAAUAUAGAUACAGAAUUAAAAUCGUUUAAUGAGAAACAGGUCGAAAAAAAAAAAAAAGUAUCAUCAAAAAUCGAUAAGUCGGUACAAGAUAAAGACACAUCUUCAUUAUUAACUCAGAAUAAACAACAACUGGAUAAAAAAAAUAAUACGCAAGGUGAAAGUGGAAGUGUAGAAGGUGGUAGUGUGGAAGGUGGUAGUGUGGAAGGUGGUAGUGUGGANNNNNNNNNNGAAGGUGGUAGUGUGGAAGGUGGUAGUGUGGAAGGUGGUAGUGUGGACAGUGGAAGUGCACAAAACGAAAAUGACCACACUUUAAACAACAUUUUUAAAGGCGAGUCUUCCUAUUUUGAUAAGAUAUUGCAAAGUAUGCUCAAUUUUUACAAACUCGUGUUAAAAUGCACAAAUUACAACAACUGCUUUUUAUUAAAAAGAGGAUAUGCUAGAUUCAUGUUUGAAAGUUAUUUGCGUAACGAACCGUUUAAUAAAAAUAUGGUAUGGUUGAUUCCUAUGUUAUCUCAAUAUUUCAAAAGACCAAUAAGUGUAUUACAAAUAUCGAACGACGAUAUUCGUUUAUAUAAAUACAAUGACAAACAACUGGUUAAAUAUAGUAUUCAAAUAUUAAUACAAAAUAAUAACAUGUUUUUGAUUUCUCCUAACUAUUUUCUUUAUAUUAAUUUAUUAAACAUGGUUAAAUAUACAUUAAUUAAGAAUGAAAAAAGAUAUGAAGAUAUUAACAACCAAAUCGUACCUUUAUAUAUCCAAGACCGUUUUUCCAUUAAUAAUAUGAACAAUUCAUGCAAUAUAGAUGAUUUUAUAACUGAUACUACUAAAUCUGAUUUGUAUUACAGUCAGUAUUUUAAAGUAAUUGAAAAAAAAAUAGACUUGUUUUUAUUAAAAAAAAUACAUAUUUUUAAUUUAUUAAUAUCAAUAAAAGAAGAUAUAUUAAAAUUUCAAUAUUUUAUGUAUUAUAAAAACAUUUUAAUAUUUUUUAAAUUAAUGGAUAAAUUAUUACUAGCGAUAAACACACACAUGCAAAUAAAUUUUGAGUUCACUUAUGAACAAAUAAUGAAUAUGCCUAAUAUUUUGAUAAAAAACUCUAUCAAUAGUAUAAUAAAUUAUAUAAAAAAAUAUAAUUUUAAUUAUUUCGGAGAAGAAAUACAAAAACAUUUUUACAAUCAGUUAAUUACUUAUAAAAACAAAAUAUGUCAAUUUAAUACUUUUCUAGAAUUGAUGGAUUAUAUGUUAAACGUUAUAAAUGAACACUUGUCUGAACGACAAGAAAUAAUGAGCAAAACAAACAAUCCGGAUGCCUUACGUAAACAUAACAUAUAUAUACAAAAUAUAAACAGUUUUAAGGAUUUAAUUUUUUGUGAAAAUACAAAAAUCGUCACAGAUUUAAUGAAAUGUGUUCAAAUUAAUUUAGAAAAUAUUUUAAAUCAUAUUAAUAAUAUGAGCGAAAAAGAAAAUGUCAAACUAAAUACUCUUAACAAAAUAUCUGUUAUAAAUGAUUGUUGUUUAAAAUAUGAUUUUAAUAAAUUAGGUGCAACUGCGUUAACUAAAAUAUAUUUUAAAGUCUUAGAAAAUAAAGAAAUGAAAAUUUUAGAUUAUUCAAAACGUUUGAGAAAAAUGUCAGAUGAAGAAAUAGGUUAUGAAAUGUGGUUCUAUUACGCUUCAAAAAUACAAAUAGAACCAUUUAAAACAAAUGAAUUAAUUUAUUUAAAAUAUAUGGAAGAAGAUGCUUUUUGGAAAAUGGGAGCAAAUAUAUAUACAGAAAAUUUUAUAAUAAAUAAACUCUCUGAAGCAAAUUUAUAUUUACAAAAUAAAGAUUUAAACAAACUAAAAAAUAAAAAAUUAACAUAUAAUGAAUAUAAACAUAUAUUAUAUAAUUCAAAAGUAGUUAGUAAAAAUUAUGAAGAAACAUACGUAACAGCAAAUAAAGAGCAAUAUGCGUUUGCAGUUGGAUGGAAAAUAAUAAAUGAUAAUGUACUAAUAAAUCCUAAUCAUGUCACAUUUGAAAGUAUAUAUAAAAAAUUGUAUACAUUUGAUGACGAUAAUACUAAUAGUUGCAAAAGUAAUAACAAUGUUUUUAAUAGCGACAAUGAUUUUGAAAAUGUUACAUCCACCACCCCUAGCAAUAAUAUCAACAACAUCCUACGCACAAUACCAAGUGAACAAUAUAAUAUUAUAACACGGUUAUUAACAAAAAAAGAUAUUUACAAUUUGUAUAAUGCCAUAAUUAUAUUUCAUAGAUUAAUCGAAUCUAUUAACGAAACCGUUUUUUAUAAAUAUAAAAGUUAUAGAAUUACAAAUAUGUUAUUCGAUGAAUUGAUGAGUAAGAAUAUAUAUAUUGCAGGAGAUUCUAUUAUUACAAAAGAAUAUAUCGAAUCGAUCGUAAAUUAUAAAUUAUGGAAAAGUAAUAUAAAACGUGUAAAAGUUAGUCAUAUAUUAAUAAGGUCACUUGUACCAGUUAAAUAUAUUACUUAUUAUGCUGAUUCGACUAUUUAUAAAAUACUUCAUUACGUUGGUAAAUCGAAUUUACGAAAAAAACUUUUAAACUAUAUUUCAUAUAUUUUAUAUGAUACAUUGAACCUAAAUAAAACUAAAAAUUAUAUAUAUAAUGAUAUCAUGUCUAGUGGUUUAUUAAAUGGUUUUUUUAAAAGCAUAUAUAUAGUUCUACUAAAAUUAAAUAUAUCAUCAGAUCAGUUAAUUACUUUUAUAACUACUAUUUUAACAAAUCUACAUUUUAUACUUAAAAAAGGUUUAAUUCAAGAUUUGAUUGAACACAUUGACUAUCGAGCUAUAGUAUCAAACUUAUUGUUUUUGUUUAAUAGUACUAUAGAAGAAUCUUACACCAAAAUUUUAAUAAAUUUUUUACAAACGUAUCCUGAAAUACAACAUUAUAUUAUGAAUAAUCAUGAUAAAAUAGAGCAAAUUUUUAUAAAAUUUAAAAACUUUUUUUUAAUGAACUUUGGUAUUUCUAUUAAUCUUUUUCAAUAUGUAUAUGAUAU
ensembl:lncRNA